UCUGGAGGGCUUUGGUGCAAAACCACUGUGACAGCUUAGACUUCGGUCUUUGCAAUUGCUUGGGUGUCGAAAGGCGCCCAAUCUUUAAAACUUUUAUAUUUGUUCUGAAACAAUGAAAAUUUAAAACUUUCAACAACGGAUCUCUUGGUUCUCGUAUCGAUGAAGAACGCAGCAAAGCGCGAUAGGUAAUGCGAAUUGCAGACGUGAGUCAUUGAAUUUUUGAACGCAUAUUGCGCUAUUAGUUUGUCUAAUAGCAUGCUUGUUGGAGUGAUAAUCUUCCUCUCAACCAUUUUUGGUAUGAGGUCUUGCUCCUUUUAGGAGUUAAAAUCAUGGAAGUGCACACGUUAAUUAACUCUGUGCAGUUAUACACUUUUCAUCCUCCAAUCAAGCAAGGUUACCCGCUGAACUUAAGCAUAUCAAUAAGCGGAGGAA
rnacentral:rRNA from 1 species